UGUCUGAACAUGGGGGGACCAUCCUCCAAGGCUAAAUACUCCUUACCGACCGAUAGUGAACCAGUACCGUGAGGGAAAGGCGAAAAGAACCCCUGUGAGGGGAGUGAAAUAGAACCUGAAACCGUGUACGUACAAGCAGUGGGAGCCCUUCGGGGUGACUGCGUACCUUUUGUAUAAUGGGUCAGCGACUUAUAUUCUGUAGCAAGGUUAACCGUAUAGGGGAGCCGAAGGGAAACCGAGUCUUAACUGGGCGUUAAGUUGCAGGGUAUAGACCCGAAACCCGGUGAUCUAGCCAUGGGCAGGUUGAAGGUUGAGUAACAUCAACUGGAGGACCGAACCCA
rnacentral:rRNA from 1 species